AUAUAUACAGGGCGUGAUGAAAAACCCGCAACCAACCUCAAACUGCUGACAUUUCUAAGCCACUCGUUCGACAGCUGUUAAAAUUAUUCCAGUGACAGCUCAUUAUAUUGUUUGCAAGCGUACAAAAGCAUUUUGGUGAGAAUUUUCCAGAAACAAAUUAUUCAUGAUGGAAUUCAAACGCGAGAUAGUGUGAUUUCUUUAUAUUUGGCUGGAAAAACAAAUGGGAGCUAUCGUUGGAGCACUCUAGUAUUUCAAUGUGAAUAAAUCUUUUGUGUCUCGUACCAUCGCUCGUUACCGCGAUACUGGUAGCGUAAGCCCGACGUCAAGGAAGUGAACGGAAGAAAACAGCAACAUCAGCAGAAAUGGUUCGAAAUGGUAAAUACGAAACCCGUGUAGCAGUGCCCGAAAAAUGGCUUGUGAGCUGAACAUAUCGCAAUAUUCCAUUCGGCAAAUAUUUUGUAAAAUGAGCUCGGGGUAAAGCCAUUGAAAUUCCAAAUAGUGCAAGAACUUCCACCACAACAGAAAGAAAAUAGACUCAAAAGAUCUAAAACCUUGCUUCACUGGGCCGAAAUUGGCGAACUUCCGAAUUUGGUUUUCUCCGAUGAGAAAACAUUCGUUGUCCAGCAGUUUGUAGACAAACAAAAUUAUCGUGUUUACUUGCCAAAGACGUCAGCUGAAAAUGUGCACCUUUAGUUGACCACCAGAACUCAAGCGCCGGCCAUGGUGAUGGUGUGGGCCGCCAUAACAGCCGAUGGUCGCUCUCCGCUCGUAUAAAUCGACCGUGGCAUCAGAGUAAAUGCCGAAUAUUAUCGCGAAAAUAUUCU